rnacentral:rRNA from 1 species
UACGUAGGGUGCGAGCGUUGUCCGGAAUUAUUGGGCGUAAAGAGCUUGUAGGCGGUUUGUCGCGUCUGCUGUGAAAAUCCGGGGCUCAACCCCGGACUUGCAGUGGGUACGGGCAGGCUAGAGUGUGGUAGGGGAGACUGGAAUUCCUGGUGUAGCGGUGAAAUGCGCAGAUAUCAGGAGGAACACCGAUGGCGAAGGCAGGUCUCUGGGCCACUACUGACGCUAAGAAGCGAAAGCAUGGGGAGCGAACAGG